CUCGAUGGUAGCUGUGCGUGGGAGACCUUCGGGUCUGCCGGUUUUCCAAUUUGUCCGGUUCGCCAACCUGCGUACAGCUGCCACCCUU
rnacentral:antisense_RNA from 1 species